GAUAUGAAACCUAAUCAGAUUGUUUUUGAACUUAUACGCAGGUUCAAGUUCAACUUGUAUAAGACAAAGCAGACAGUGUAUUUAAGAAAAUGAUUGGAAGAACUAACUAUCACCUGUCAAAAAAGUUAGUUGUUAUAUGGUGUCUUGCUUUCAAUGAUCCGUAUGUUAGUUCCGCACCAACAGGAAAUGCUGAAGUAGAUAAACAUAAACUUGUUGAAGUGGUUCAGAAAUUUAAUCUACUGAAUCCGCCUAAAACUUACAAAGAGUCCGAAAAGAAGGCUCUUCAAUUUUUUCCGCAGAGCAAAUCUGCGGCGUUACAAUUCUUUACAUUCGACAACACAAGUGCAAUAACAUGUUUAAUAACUGCCGUGAUCGAUAUAAGAAUUGGUAUCACAGUGAAUACAAGAAGAACUGUCCCAACUAUAUUUAUGGUAGAAUUAAGAGUUGGAAAAAAUCGACCGGUGUACACACCUGCUUUGUUCCCGCCGGGUGUUGUACAGCAGGUACAGAUGAAUAGGAAAUUUAAAGUCACACCUGGGGAUAAAAUAACCGUUAAAGCUAGAGGUACACCAUUUAUUGACAGCAGACAAAUUUAUAAUUACAUGGAGAUAUCGUGGAUCGACCUUACGUAAUAGCUUGCAAAUAGUUUUUAACAUGAAACUAUAAGCCGUUCGUCACGGUUGUACCGUUACCAGAUCGUACACCAGUAACGCACACAACAGUAAGGCAUUGCUGAGAUUACUCGAUACUGGUUAAAGAAGCUCUACAACCAAUACACAUGUACAUACAGUCGUCAUACCAUUUCAUCAUAACGAUCUGUUUUAUAGACGUUUAUAAUGACUGUAGAAUGUGACAAAGAUUAGGAUACACUAGACAUGAUAAGAGGUUUGUGUGUAUAUUCACAAUUAUAGAUAAAACACAACAUCUUAUCUGAAGAUAUAUGGUAGACACAUUUUAAGUGAAAAAAUAACCAAAAUUAUAGACAGACAUUAGUGUGUGUUUAGAGACUAGUUGAAUUAAUAAAAAUGUUGCUUAAAACUGAA